CCGUGCGCCCCUCUUCCCUCCUCUCCGGCACCCCGCUUCCCUCUCCCCGCCCCGAACCCUUUCUCCCUCUGCUCCUUCCUCCCUCCUUCCAGCCUCCUCUGAGCCUCUGCCCUGCUCUGGCAGCUCCCACGCGGUUGCUAUGGAGGCGCUCGAGGCUUCUCUCCGGCUGGCUGGAGGUGCCCCGGGGCCCCCGGGACCGACCGGAGUCUUUGCCCAACCCUCGGGCGCCUCGCCCCAUUGGGUACUAGGAACAAAGCACGCCCUCAGCCCCGGGGACGCGCCCUCAGACCUUCAGGCGCCCCAGGCCCGAGGCUUAAGACCACCAAGAAACCGCUUGCCCUCAGCCUCUCGGUGGGCAGGACCCCUGGGGCCGAGGCUGGAGGACAGAAUGACGCUGAUGGAGGCUGUGUUCACCUCACCAGAAGGACAGCAAGAGAGGCGCUGGAAUCGUAGAGCUUCUUACUUCUUCAGGAUAUUUAGCCAGGAGCCGUCACUCUGUUACUUCUGCCACAUUCAGUUGGCCAAAGAAAGUCACAUGCCUGGGUCCAGAGCUCUGCUCACUGCAGAAAACCUGACGGGGAAUGGCUAAGGGCAGAGCAAAGGAUUGGAGCCGUUAAAGCAAUAAACUACAGAACUUGUCG
ensembl:lncRNA